CCUACGGGAGGCAGCAGUGGGGAAUAUUGGGCAAUGGGCGCAAGCCUGACCCAGCAACGCCGCGUGAAGGAAGAAGGCUUUCGGGUUGUAAACUUCUUUUCUCAGGGACGAAGCAAGUGACGGUACCUGAGGAAUAAGCCACGGCUAACUACGUGCCAGCAGCCGCGGUAAUACGUAGGUGGCAAGCGUUAUCCGGAUUUACUGGGUGUAAAGGGCGUGUAGGCGGGGACGCAAGUCAGAUGUGAAAACCACGGGCUCAACCUGUGGCCUGCAUUUGAAACUGGGUUUCUUGAGUACUGGAGAGGCAGGCGGAAUUCGUGGUGUAGCGGUGAAAUGCGUAGAUAUUAGGAGGAACACCGAUGGCGAAGGCGGUCUGCUGGAGAGCAAAUGACGCGGAGGCGCGAAAGCGUGGGGAGCAAACAGGAUUAGAUACCCGAGUAGUC
rnacentral:rRNA from 1 species